rnacentral:rRNA from 1 species
AUUGAACGCUGGCGGCAGGCCUAACACAUGCAAGUCGAACGAGUGGCGGACGGGUGAGUAAUGUCUGGGACACUGCCCGAUGGUGGGGGAAAACUACUGGAAACGGUAGCUAAUACCGCAUACCAUCGAAUGUGCCCAGAUUGGUGUUGCUAGUCGGUGGGGUAUUGGCUCACCUAGGCGACGAUCCCUAGCUGGUAUGAGGGGAUGACCAGCAACAUUGGAACUGUGACACGUUCCAGACUCCUACGGGAGGCAGCAGUGGGGAAUAUUGCACAAUGGGCGCAAGCCUGAUGCAGCCUUGCCGCUUGUAUGAAGAAGGCCUUCGGGUGGUAAAGUACUUUCAGCGAGGAGGCGUUACUCGCAGAAGAAGCACCGGCUAACUCCGUGCCAGCAGCCGCGGUAAUAC